AGGAAAUAGACCCGAACCUUGGUGAUCUAACCUUGACCAGGAUGAAGCGUGGGUAACACUACGUGGAGGUCCGAACCAACCGAUGUUGAAAAAUCGGUGGAUGAGUUGAGGUUAGGGGUGAAAUGCCAAUCGAACCAAGAGCUAGCUGGUUCUCCCCGAAAUGCGUUUAGGCACAGCGUUGGAUUUAUCUUGCAGGAGGUAGAGCACUGGUUUUGUGCGGGCGUCGAAAUGAUGUACCAAACAAUGUCAAACUCCGAAUACCUGUAAUGUCAUUAUCCAGCAGUGAGGCUAUGAGUGAUAAGAUCCAUGGCCAAGAGGGAAACAGCCCAGAACGCCAGUUAAGGUCCCUAAUAUAUGCUAAGUGGUUAAGGAGGUAGAGUUACUGAGACAACCAGGAGGUUGGCUUAGAAGCAGCCAUCCCUUGAAAGAGUGCGUAAUAGCUCACUGGUCAAGUGACUCCGCGCCGAAAAUACACCGGGACUAAAGCAUAUAACCGAAGCUGCGUCAUAUAGUUUACUAUAUGGGUAGGGGAGCGUACUGUAGUAAGACGAAGCUAGAGUGAAAACACUAGUGGAUGAGGCAGUAGUGAGAAUGUCGGCAUAAGUAGCGAAAACAUUGGUGAGAAUCCAAUGCACCGAAAACCUAAGGUUUCCCACGGCAGGCUCGUCCGCGUGGGGUUAGUCGGAUCCUAAGCUCAGGCCAAACGGCGUAGGCGAUGGACAAUAGGUUGAUAUUCCUAUACUAUCUGAUAAUCGUUAUCAGAAGCGGAGGGACGCAAGAGGAUAAGCACGCAGUCGACUGGAAGAGACUGUAUAAGCGUGUAGCUAGGUUUGACAGGAAAAUCCGUCAAAUCGUUAAUGUGAGGCGUGAUGUGGAGAGUCUACGGACUCGAAGGUGUUGACUCCAAAUUGCCAAGAAAAUCUUCGCUCUCGAGAUUAUUGGGUAUCCGUACCGUAAACCGCCACAGGUAGGUUGGUAGAAAAUACUAAGGUGCGCGAGACAACUCUCGCUAAGGAACUCGGCAAAAUCACCUCGUAACUUCGGGAGAAGAGGUACCCUGGUAGCGUGAAGCGAUUUACUCGUGAAGCGUGAUAGGGUCGCAGUGAAUAGGCCCAAGCGACUGUUUACCAAAAACACAGGUCUCUGCUAAGUCGAUCAAGACGAUGUAUAGGGGCUGACGCCUGCCCGGUGUCGGAAGGUUACGCGGAAAUGUUAGAAGCAAUUCAAAGCAUCGAAGCUAAGCCCCGAUGAACGGCGGCCGUAACUAUAACGGUCCUAAGGUAGCGAAAUUCCUUGUCAGGUAAGUUCUGACCCGCACGAAUGGCGUAACGAUUUGGGCGCUGUCUCGGCGAGAGGCUCGGCGAAAUUGGAUUAUCCGUGAAGAUACGGAUUACGUGUACCAGGACAGAAAGACCCUAUUGAGCUUUACUGUAGCUUGAAAUUGAAUUCGGGUUCUCAUUGCGCAGUAUAGGUGGGAGACUAUGAAGCUUGAACUUUGGUUUAAGUGGAGUCAUCGUUGAGAUACCACUCUGUGAAAAUUUGGAUUCUAACCUUGAUCCCUCAAAGAACAGGGCAAGGGACAGUUUCUGGUAGGCAGUUUGACUGGGGCGGUCGCCUCCUAAAAAGUAACGGA
rnacentral:rRNA from 1 species